UACGAAGGGGACUAGCGUUGUUCGGAAUUACUGGGCGUAAAGCGCACGUAGGCGGAUUUGUUAGUCAGGGGUGAAAUCCCGGGGCUCAACCUCGGAACUGCCUUUGAUACUGCAAGUCUCGAGUCCGAUAGAGGUGGGUGGAAUUCCUAGUGUAGAGGUGAAAUUCGUAGAUAUUGGGAGGAACACCAGUGGCGAAGGCGGCUACCUGGACCGGUUCUGACGCUGAGGCGCGAAAGCGUGGGUAGCAAACAGG
rnacentral:rRNA from 1 species